rnacentral:rRNA from 1 species
UACGAAGGGGGGCUAGCGUUGUUCGGAAUCACUGGGCGUAAAGCGCACGUAGGCGGAUUGCUAAGUCAGGGGUGAAAUCCUGGAGCUCAACUCCAGAACUGCCUUUGAUACUGGCGAUCUUGAGUCCGGGAGAGGUGAGUGGAACUGCGAAGUGUAGAGGUGAAAUUCGUAGAUAUUCGCAAGAACACCAGUGGCGAAGGCGGCUCACUGGCCCGGUACUGACGCUGAGGUGGCGAAAGCGUGGGGAGCAAACAGG